UGGGACCCACACAUUCCCCCUCUUGUUCAGCCCCCUGCCCCUAUGGAGAUAGCGCCCUUUUUACAGGCUUCGUCCUCAUUCAGCAAUGAUGGUUCCCCAAAGGUCAGCACUGUAUCUAAACAGGUUUCCAAUGUUCCUCUAUCUACACUAAGCUAUGAUCAAUAAAUGGUUUUCAAAAUGGCACCCUGAUCCUUGACAGCUGGAGUCAACAACCCCAAGAUUACGAAAUGAAAUAGUGUUUGUAACUGAAA